CCUACGGGUGGCAGCAGUAGGGAAUCUUCGGCAAUGGACGAAAGUCUGACCGAGCAACCCCGCGUGAGUGAAGAAGGUUUUCGGAUCGUAAAACUCUGUUGGUAGAGAAGAACGUUGGUGAGAGUGGAAAGCUCAUCAAGUGACGGUAACUACCCAGAAAGGGACGGCUAACUACGUGCCAGCAGCCGCGGUAAUACGUAGGUCCCGAGCGUUGUCCGGAUUUAUUGGGCGUAAAGCGAGCGCAGGUGUUUAUUAAGGCUGGUGUAAAAGGCAGUGGCUCAAGCAUUGUAUGCAUUGGAAACUGGUAGACUUGAGUGCAGGAGAGGAGAGUGGAAUUCCAUGUGUAGCGGUGGAAUGCGUAGAUAUAUGGAGGAACACCGGUGGCGAAAGCGGCUCUCUGGCCUGUAACUGACACUGAGGUUCGAAAGCGUGGGGAGCAAACAGGAUUAGAUACCCUUGUAGUC
rnacentral:rRNA from 1 species